rnacentral:rRNA from 1 species
GACGAACGCUGGCGGCGUGCUUAACACAUGCAAGUCGAACGGAAAGGCCCUGCUUUUGUGGGGUGCUCGAGUGGCGAACGGGUGAGUAACACGUGAGUAACCUGCCCUUGACUUUGGGAUAACUUCAGGAAACUGGGGCUAAUACCGGAUAGGAGCUCCUGCCGCAUGGUGGGGGUUGGAAAGUUUCGGCGGUUGGGGAUGGACUCGCGGCUUAUCAGCUUGUUGGUGGGGUAGUGGCUUACCAAGGCUUUGACGGGUAGCCAGCCUGAGAGGGUGACCGGCCACAUUGGGACUGAGAUACGGCCAGACUCCUACGGGAGGCAGCAGUGGGGAAUAUUGCACAAUGGGCGGAAGCCUGAUGCAGCAACGCCGCGUGCGGGAUGACGGCCUUCGGGUUGUAAACCGCUUUCGCCUGUGACGAAGCGUGAGUGACGGUAAUGGGUAAAGAAGCACCGGCUAACUACGUGCCAGCAGCCGCGGUGAUACGUAGGGUGCGAGCGUUGUCCGGAUUUAUUGGGCGUAAAGGGCUCGUAGGUGGUUGAUCGCGUCGGAAGUGUAAUCUUGGGGCUUAACCCUGAGCGUGCUUUCGAUACGGGUUGACUUGAGGAAGGUAGGGGAGAAUGGAAUUCCUGGUGGAGCGGUGGAAUGCGCAGAUAUCAGGAGGAACACCAGUGGCGAAGGCGGUUCUCUGGGCCUUUCCUGACGCUGAGGAGCGAAAGCGUGGGGAGCGAACAGGCUUAGAUACCCUGGUAGUCCGCGCUGUAAACGGUGGGUACUAGGUGUGGGGUCCAUUCCACGGGUUCCGCGCCGUAGCUAACGCUUUAAGUACCCCGCCUGGGGAGUACGGCCGCAAGGCUAAAACUCAAAGGAAUUGACGGGGCCCCGCACAAGCGGCGGAGCAUGCGGAUUAAUUCGAUGCAACGCGUAGAACCUUACCUGGGUUUGACAUGGAUCGGGAGUGCUCAGAGAUGGGUGUGCCUCUUUUGGGGUCGGUUCACAGGUGGUGCAUGGCUGUCGUCAGCUCGUGUCGUGAGAUGUUGGGUUAAGUCCCGCAACGAGCGCAACCCUUGUUCACUGUUGCCAGCACGUUAUGGUGGGGACUCAGUGGAGACCGCCGGGGUCAACUCGGAGGAAGGUGGGGAUGACGUCAAGUCAUCAUGCCCCUUAUGUCCAGGGCUUCACGCAUGCUACAAUGGCUGGUACAGAGAGUGGCGAGCCUGUGAGGGUGAGCGAAUCUCGGAAAGCCGGUCUCAGUUCGGAUUGGGGUCUGCAACUCGACCUCAUGAAGUCGGAGUCGCUAGUAAUCGCAGAUCAGCAACGCUGCGGUGAAUACGUUCCCGGGGCU